rnacentral:rRNA from 1 species
GAUGAACGCUGGCGGCGUGCCUAAUACAUGCAAGUCGAGCGAACGGACGAGAAGCUUGCUUCUCUGAUGUUAGCGGCGGACGGGUGAGGAACACGUGGAUAACCUACCUAUAAGACUGGGAUAACUUCGGGAAACCGGAUCUAAUACCGGAUAAUAUUUUGAACCGCAUGGUUCAAAAGUGAAAGACGGUCUUGCUGUCACUUAUAGAUGGAUCCGCGCUGCAUUAGCUAGUUGGUAAGGUAACGGCUUACCAAGGCAACGAUGCAUAGCCGACCUCAGAGGAUGAUCGGCCACACUGGAACUGAGACACGGUCCCGACUCCUACGGGAGGCAGCAGUCGGGAAUCUUCCGCAAUGGGCGAAAGCCUGACGGAGCAACGCCGCGUGAGUGAUGAAGGUCUUCGGAUCGUAAAACUCUGUUAUUAGGGAAGAACAUAUGUGUAAGUAACUGUGCACAUCUUGACGGUACCUAAUCAGAAAGCCACGGCUAACUACGUG